UGGGGAAUUUUGGACAAUGGGCGCAAGCCUGAUCCAGCCAUUCCGCGUGAGUGAAGAAGGCCUUCGGGUUGUAAAGCUCUUUCGCAAGGGAAGAAAACUUAACCUCUAACAUAGGUUGAGGCUGACGGUACCUUGAUAAGAAGCACCGGCUAACUACGUGCCAGCAGCCGCGGUAAUACGUAGGGUGCGAGCGUUAAUCGGAAUUACUGGGCGUAAAGCGUGCGCAGGCGGCAUGAUAAGUCAGAUGUGAAAU
rnacentral:rRNA from 1 species